rnacentral:rRNA from 1 species
AACGAACGCUGGCGGCAUGCUUAACACAUGCAAGUCGAACGGAUAGCUUGCUAUCAGUGGCGCACGGGUGAGUAACACGUGGGAACCUACCUUUUAGUUUGGGAUAACUUUGGGAAACUAAGGCUAAUACCGGAUACGCUUUGCAGCUUGGCGCUGUAAAGGAAAGAUUUAUCGCUAAAAGAUGGGCCCGCGGUGGAUUAGCUUGUUGGUGGGGUAAAGGCUUACCAAGGCAACGAUCCAUAGCUGGUCUGAGAGGAUGAUCAGCCACACUGGGACUGAGAUACGGCCCAGACUCCUACGGGAGGCAGCAGUGGGGAAUAUUGGACAAUGGGCGAAAGCCUGAUCCAGCAAUGCCGCGUGAGUGAAGAAGGUCUUCGGAUUGUAAAGCUCUUUCACGGGUGAAGAUAAUGACGGUAACCCGAGAAGAACGCCCCGGCUAACUCGUG